CCGAGGGGGCUAUAUGCAGUUGAGCGCUGAGGUUGGUACUUGUACCGACUGGAUGAGCAGCGAACGGGUGAGUAACGCGUGGGGAAUCUGCCUUUGAGCGGGGGACAACAUUUGGAAACGAAUGCUAAUACCGCAUAAAAACUUUAAACACAAGUUUUAAGUUUGAAAGAUGCAAUUGCAUCACUCAAAGAUGAUCCCGCGUUGUAUUAGCUAGUUGGUGAGGUAAAGGCUCACCAAGGCGAUGAUACAUAGCCGACCUGAGAGGGUGAUCGGCCACAUUGGGACUGAGACACGGCCCAAACUCCUACGGGAGGCAGCAGUAGGGAAUCUUCGGCAAUGGACGAAAGUCUGACCGAGCAACGCCGCGUGAGUGAAGAAGGUUUUCGGAUCGUAAAACUCUGUUGGUAGAGAAGAACGUUGGUGAGAGUGGAAAGCUCAUCAAGUGACGGUAACUACCCAGAAAGGGACGGCUAACUACGUGCCAGCAGCCGCGGUAAUACGUAGGUCCCGAGCGUUGUCCGGAUUUAUUGGGCGUAAAGCGAGCGCAGGUGGUUUAUUAAGUCUGGUGUAAAAGGCAGUGGCUCAACCAUUGUAUGCAUUGGAAACUGGUAGACUUGAGUGCAGGAGAGGAGAGUGGAAUUCCAUGUGUAGCGGUGAAAUGCGUAGAUAUAUGGAGGAACACCGGUGGCGAAAGCGGCUCUCUGGCCUGUAACUGACACUGAGGCUCGAAAGCGUGGGGAGCAAACAGGAUUAGAUACCCUGGUAGUCCACGCCGUANACGAUGAGUGCUAGAUGUAGGGAGCUAUAAGUUCUCUGUAUCGCAGCUAAC
rnacentral:rRNA from 1 species